GCGCGAGUGGUGAAAUGGUAUACACGCAGCCUUGAGGUGGCUGUGGGGGCGACCCCGUGGAGGUUCAAGUCCUCUCUCGCGCA
rnacentral:tRNA from 1 species